UAGCGAGCUUAACCGAAUAGGGGAGGCGUAGGGAAACCGAGUCUUAAUAGGGCGAUUAGUUGCUGGGCGUAGACCCGAAACCGGAUGAUCUAUCCAUGGCCAGGAUGAAGGUGCGGUAACACGCACUGGAGGUCCGAACCCACUAGUGUUGAAAAACUAGGGGAUGAGCUGUGGAUAGGGGUGAAAGGCUAAACAAAUCCGGAGAUAGCUGGUUCUCUCCGAAAGCUAUUUAGGUAGUGCCUCACGUAUCACCUUCGGGGGUAGAGCACUGUUUAGGCUAGGGGGUCAUCGCGACUUACCAAACCUAUGCAAACUCCGAAUACCGAAGAGUGCGAGCGUGGGAGACAGACAUCGGGUGCUAACGUUCGGUGUCGAGAGGGAAACAACCCAGACCGCCGAUUAAGGUCCCCAAGCCAUAGUUAAGUGGGAAACGAGGUGGGAAGGCUCAGACAGCCAGGAGGUUGGCUUAGAAGCAGCCAUCCUUUAAAGAAAGCGUAACAGCUCACUGGUCGAGUCGUCCUGCGCGGAAGAUGUAACGGGGCUUAAACUAUGCACCGAAAUCGCGGAUAUGUACUUGUACAUAUGGUAGGAGAGCGUUCCGUAGGCCGUUGAAGGUGGCUUGUAAAGGCUGCUGGAGGUAUCGGAAGUGCGAAUGCUGACAUGAGUAGCGAUAAAGCGGGUGAAAGGCCCGCUCGCCGAAAGCCCAAGGUUUCCUGCGCAACGUUCAUCGGCGCAGGGUGAGUCGGCCCCUAAGGCGAGGCUGAAAAGCGUAGUCGAUGGGAAACUGGUUAAUAUUCCAGUACCUCUAUGUAAUGCGAUGGGGGGACGGAGAAGGUUAGGUCAGCCGGGUGUUGGACGUCCCGGUUCAAGCGUGUAGUCGUGCCUGGUAGGCAAAUCCGCUAGGCUAAGAUGAGGCGUGAUAACGAGUGGUCUUGUACCGCGAAGUGAUUGAUACCCUGCUUCCAAGAAAAGCCUCUAAGCUUCAGUUACAUAGAGACCGUACCGCAAACCGACACAGGUGGGCAGGAUGAGAAUUCUCAGGCGCUUGAGAGAACUCGGGAGAAGGAACUCGGCAAAUUAGCACCGUAACUUCGGGAAAAGGUGCGCCCCGUUAGGUUGUAGCAACUUGCUUGCGAAGGCCGAUGGGGUUGCAGUGAAAAGGUGGCUGCGACUGUUUAACAAAAACACAGCACUCUGCCAACACGAAAGUGGACGUAUAGGGUGUGACGCCUGCCCGGUGCCGGAAGGUUAAGUGAUGGGGUGCAAGCUCUUGAUCGAAGCCCCGGUAAACGGCGGCCGUAACUAUAACGGUCCUAAGGUAGCGAAAUUCCUUGUCGGGU
rnacentral:rRNA from 1 species